GACGAACCGAGCGAACGUUGUUCGGAAUCACUGGGCUUAAAGGGCGCGUAGGCGGGUGCUCAAGUCCGUGGUGAAAUCCUCCGGCUCAACCGGAGAACUGCCUCGGAUACUGGGCGUCUCGAGUGUGGUAGGGGUAUGCGGAACUAUCGGUGGAGCGGUGAAAUGCGUUGAUAUCGAUAGGAACUCCGGUGGCGAAGGCGGCAUACUGGACCACCACUGACGCUGAGGAGCGAAAGCCAGGGGGAGCAAAACGGG
rnacentral:rRNA from 1 species